CUAAGAACUUGAGGGCUCCAAGAGAAGGUUUUAGUCUCUGCUUCCUGAAAAUUUGAAUUCUAAUGGAAAGACAAGCCCUUUGGAAGGUGGAUAGCAGAACCUACAGGAAUGGAUAGGUGAUGACCUUUUAGAGGAAGACUCAGGCAAAUUAUGGAAGGCCACCUGCACAAGCACUGGGAGUAGAGACAAAAAUGAAACUAUUUCUGCCAUUCAAGAGCUUGCGUUCCAUCAAAGGACUCGGUACAUGUUUGUGGAAAAUGAAUUGAUGAUGAUGAAAAGUGCGCUGAAAGAUGCGGAUUGUGAUCAAGAAGUGAAAGAAAGCAGUGAAAGAAGUGAGUGAGCUCUGAGGAAUCAGGGGUGGGGGUGGACAGGGGCCAGCGUUUCCUCUACACCUCGGUUCUGUUUGAAUGCACGGCCAAGCACACCCUCGGCCAGCAGUAACGCAAGGAAGAAUACACAGCCUCUAUUUGUCUAACAACCAGAGAAGGUAAACAGAGCCAGCCCAAGUGAAACUUGGAAUAACAGAAACUCUCAGAGGUGGAACGCGGCUCGGGUCAGUCCUUUUGCCCUAGUGAGCUGCUCCCCAGGGAGUGGGCUAAAACAAUUCAGAGCAGGGCUACCGGAACAAGUUGGUGCAAUUCUGGGAGAGGAGAAUCCUGGAAAGAAAACAGAGUGAAAGCAGAGACUCCUAGUCCCAGGGCGCUGAAAAUCUGUUUCGAGGGCCACCAGAUCUAAUCUGGGCUAGGGCCCGAUUAUUAUUAUUAUUUUUCUUUUGUUGAGGCAAUCGGGGUUAAGUGACUUGACCAGGGUCACACAGCCAGGAAGUGUUAAGGUCACAUUUGAACUCAGGUUCUGUUGACUUCAGGGCUGGUGCUCUGUCCACUGCACCAACUAGCUGACCCCUCUAGGGCCCAAUUAUGAAGGUCAAUCUAUUCAUUUUCUCCUCCUGGUAUCUUGCUCACGUUUCUCCUCUUCUAGCUCCACCCAGGGGAAAGACAGCUGGACUUGCAUCCUGCUUCAGAC
rnacentral:lncRNA from 1 species